UUGAACGCUGGCGGCAUGCCUUACACAUGCAAGUCGAACGGUAGAGGGGCAACCCUUGAGAGUGGCGAACGGGUGAGUAAUAUAUCGGAACGUGCCCAGUCGUGGGGGAUAACGCAGCGAAAGCUGCGCUAAUACCGCAUACGAUCUAUGGAUGAAAGCGGGGGAUCGCAAGACCUCGCGCGAUUGGAGCGGCCGAUAUUAGAUUAGGUAGUUGGUGGGGUAAAAGCCC
rnacentral:rRNA from 1 species